rnacentral:rRNA from 1 species
UACGUAGGGGGCAAGCGUUGUCCGGAUUCAUUGGGCGUAAAGAGCGUGUAGGCGGCCAGGUAGGUCGGUUGUGAAAACUGGAGGCUCAACCUUCAGAGGUCGACCGAAACCAUCUGGCUAGAGUCCGGGAGAGGAGAGUGGAAUUCCUGGUGUAGCGGUGAAAUGCGCAGAUAUCAGGAAGAACACCCGUGGCGAAAGCGGCUCUCUGGAACGGUACUGACGCUGAGACGCGAAAGCGUGGGGAGCGAACAGGG